GUCCACGCCGUAAACGAUGCUAACUCGUUUUUGGGGUUUCGACUUCAGAGACUAAGCGAAAGUGAUAAGUUAGCCACCUGGGGAGUACGUUCGCAAGAAUGAAACUCAAAGGAAUUGACGGGGGCCCGCACAAGCGGUGGAUUAUGUGGUUUAAUUCGAUGAUACGCGAGGAACCUUACCAAGACUUAAAUGGGAAAUGACAGAUUUAGAAAUAGAUCCUUCUUCGGACAUUUUUCAAGGUGCUGCAUGGUU
rnacentral:rRNA from 1 species